CUUUUCUUUUCAAGCUUUAACCCAUUAACAAGGUCAUGAAAACAAACUAAACCUCUAGCGCCUUAGACCAGGCAUGGCCAACCAACCAAUAAAAUACUGUGAAUUUGGGAAAGCUGUGGAAUGAAUUUCUACAUUACUUGGACCUAAACUGUUCUCUUAUCUUGAAUUACACCUUGGAAGACGUGAAAUGGUAAUAACCCCUAUAUCCGCAAGGAAGCUAAACGUUUAUUUUAAUUCAACUUGAAGAUACAUUGAUCAAUGACGUUAAUAUCAAGUUAUUUGUAUAUAAUUCACUUGCUUGAAACCAG